UACGGGGGGAGCAAGCGUUGUUCGGAUUUACUGGGCGUAAAGGGCGCGUAGGCGGUCAGCACAAGUCAGUUGUGAAAUCUCCGAGCUUAACUCGGAAAGGUCAACUGAUACUGUGCGACUAGAGUGCGGAAGGGGCAACUGGAAUUCUUGGUGUAGCGGUGAAAUGCGUAGAUAUCUGGAGGAAUACCGGUGGCGAAGGCGGCCUUCUGGACGAUGACUGACGCUGGAGACGCGAAAGCGUGGGGAGCAAACAGG
rnacentral:rRNA from 1 species